rnacentral:rRNA from 1 species
CACGUAGGGGCGAGCGUUGUCCGGAAUUACUGGGCGUAAAGGGCGCGCAGGCUGUUAUGCGAGUCUGCUGUGAAAUGUACCGGCUCAACCGGUGCCUUGCGGCGGAUACUGCAUAGCUGGAGUACUGGAGAGGGAAGUGGAAUUCCCGGUGUAGCGGUGAAAUGCGUAGAUAUCGGGAGGAAUACCGGUGGCGAAGGCGGCCACCUGGACUGAUACUGACACUGAGGUGCGAAAGCGUGGGGAGGCAAACAGGAUUAGAUA